rnacentral:misc_RNA from 1 species
AUUACACCCAAAAAAAAACAUAUACAAAACUCGGGCAGGCCUAUUAUAUAUAUUAUUAUAGGCCUUUCCCACAUACACACAGCAAACUUUUAUACUCGAAGUUUGCAGUAAAGAAAAGGCCGAUCGACGUUAUAUAACGCACCGCGCGCCUAUACACACAAAAGCAAAAACGUCCGUUUAUACAAAUAUACGGCGUUUCCGUCUUUUGUUGGCGGGGGCGGGGGUGCGUGUGUGUGGAUAACGGCUCACAUAACGUGUCGCGAUGGAUGACUUGGCUUCCUAUUUCGUUGAAGAACGCAGUA